UGAAUGCCAGGACAAGCUAAA
rnacentral:miRNA from 1 species